rnacentral:rRNA from 1 species
GAGUGAACGCUGGCGGUAGGCCUAACACAUGCAAGUCGAACGGCAGCCCAGUAAGAGCUUGCUCUUACGGGUGGCGAGUGGCGGACGGGUGCGGAAUACAUCGGAAUCUACUUUUUCGUGGGGGAUAACGUAGGGAAACUUACGCUAAUACCGCAUACGACCUACGGGUGAAAGCAGGGGAUCUUCGGACCUUGCGCGAUUGAAUGAGCCGAUGUCGGAUUAGCUAGUUGGCGGGGUAAAGGCCCACCAAGGCGACGAUCCGUAGCUGGUCUGAGAGGAUGAUCAGCCACACUGGAACUGAGACACGGUCCAGACUCCUACGGGAGGCAGCAGUGGGGAAUAUUGGACAAUGGGCGCAAGCCUGAUCCAGCCAUACCGCGUGGGUGAAGAAGGCCUUCGGGUUGUAAAGCCCUUUUGUUGGGAAAGAAAAGCAGCGGGUUAAUACCCCGCUGUUCUGACGGUACCCAAAGAAUAAGCACCGGCUAACUUCGUG